AGAGUUUGAUCAUGGCUCAGAACGAACGCUGGCGGCAGGCUUAACACAUGCAAGUCGAACGCACCUUUCGGGGUGAGUGGCAGACGGGUGAGUAACGCGUGGGAACGUGCCCUUCAGUUCGGAAUAACCCAGGGAAACUUGGGCUAAUACCGGAUACGUGCGAGAGCAGAAAGAUUUAUCGCUGAAGGAUCGGCCCGCGUCUGAUUAGCUAGUUGGUGAGGUAAUGGCUCACCAAGGCGACGAUCAGUAGCUGGUCUGAGAGGAUGAUCAGCCACAUUGGGACUGAGACACGGCCCAAACUCCUACGGGAGGCAGCAGUGGGGAAUAUUGGACAAUGGGCGCAAGCCUGAUCCAGCCAUGCCGCGUGAGUGAUGAAGGCCUUAGGGUUGUAAAGCUCUUUCGUCCGGGACGAUAAUGACGGUACCGGAAGAAGAAGCCCCGGCUAACUUCGUGCCAGCAGCCGCGGUAAUACGAAGGGGGCUAGCGUUGUUCGGAAUCACUGGGCGUAAAGGGCGCGUAGGCGGCUUUGUAAGUCGGGGGUGAAAGCCUGUGGCUCAACCACAGAAUUGCCUUCGAUACUGCAUGGCUUGAGACCGGAAGAGGUUAGUGGAACUGCGAGUGUAGAGGUGAAAUUCGUAGAUAUUCGCAAGAACACCAGUGGCGAAGGCGGCUGACUGGUCCGGUUCUGACGCUGAGGCGCGAAAGCGUGGGGAGCAAACAGGAUUAGAUACCCUAGUAGUCC
rnacentral:rRNA from 1 species